UGGGGAAUUUUGGACAAUGGGCGCAAGCCUGAUCCGGCCAUGCCGCGUGCAGGAUGAAGGCCUUCGGGUUGUAAACUGCUUUUGUACGGAACGAAAAGUCUCUUUCUAAUAAAGAGGGAUCAUGACGGUACCGUAAGAAUAAGCACCGGCUAACUACGUGCCAGCAGCCGCGGUAAUACGUAGGGUGCAAGCGAUAAUCGGAAUUACUGGGCGUAAAGCGUGCGCAGGCGGUUAUGUAAGACAGAUGUGAAAUCCCCGGGCUCAACCUGGGAACUGCAUUUGUGACUGCAUAGCUAGAGUACGGCAGAGGGAAAUGGAAUUCCGCGUGUAGCAGUGAAAUGCGUAGAUAUGCGGAGGAACACCGAUGGCGAAGGCAAUCCCCUGGGCCAGUACUGACGCUCAUGCACGAAAGCGUGGGGAGCAAACA
rnacentral:rRNA from 1 species